CACGGAGGGAGCUAGCGUUGUUCGGAAUUACUGGGCGUAAAGCGCACGUAGGCGGCUUUUUAAGUCAGGGGUGAAAGCCCGGGGCUCAACCCCGGAAUUGCCUUUGAAACUAGAUAGCUAGAAUCUGGGAGAGGUGAGUGGAAUUCCGAGUGUAGAGGUGAAAUUCGUAGAUAUUCGGAAGAACACCAGUGGCGAAGGCGGCUCACUGGACCAGAAUUGACGCUGAGGUACGAAAGCGUGGGGAGCAAACAGG
rnacentral:rRNA from 1 species